CUGUUGUAUUGCAGCAAAGAAUAUAAAAUCAGAAUAAAGUUGUUCAGAAAAUAAACAUCUUGAGUCACAUCCACUCAAAAAACACACUCAGAGGGAAGUUAUUUAGGAAGCUGCAAGACUCUUCUUACCCCCCUGGGAUGGUUUGGCUUCAAACUGUGCCUUCCAAAGAGCAACUUGCAACUGGCGCGGCCUACUGCUUGUAUUGUAAUUUAUGAACCCAGUGGCUUGAAAGGUUCCUCCUGCUGCAAGGAUCAUGGUCAAAUAUCACCUGGCCCCAAACCUGAGUUUACCUGGGGAUCUACUCCAUGGAUUUGUUGAGAAGCUAAAAUCGUGAUGAUGGUACACAGUUAUCAUCCUGCCCCAUGUUCCUGCAAGUCCUCACAGAAGCAGUGUGGAUCCGAUGUUCCUGGUCCCUCGAUGAAGCAAUUCAGCUCUUCAUGCAACGCCCAGGACGUGUUAUGCUCCAUCUCAGCAAGAACGUAGAGCCAGAAUUCACUAUCAACUUGAAACACAGAAGAGCAUCCAAGGUCCUGAUCCAAGGUCGUUUCUGUUCUGCUCAACACUUUCACGUGGAGGCACCUGCUUGCUUCCUUGUCUGUAAUGAAAUCUGAACACAGGCUUAAAGAUCCGAAAGUCCAAGUGUUGCGACGAACGGAGAUGAACUGGUGGUUUGCCAUCCUGGGCUCAGCCGCUCAUCUCUCCUCAUCCUCUUCAGCAAAAAACGAAAUCUUGGAUUGUGGACCACAACUCAUUAGUCAUUCCUUGUGGCUCAAUAUCACCUUCAGCAUGAUCCAAACCACAAAUGUUCACAAAAAGAGAAAUUUGUUCUUCAUUAAUACCUGAACA